UAAUCGCGAAUCAGAAUGUCGCGGUGAAUACGUUCCCGGGCCUUGUACACACCGCCCGUCACACCAUGAGAGUCGAUAACACCCGAAGCCUGUGAGCUAACCGCAAGGGGCAGCAGUCGAAGGUGGGGUUGAUGAUUGGGGUGAAGUCGUAACAAGGUAGC
rnacentral:rRNA from 1 species